GAGAAAAUUAUUGAAAUAUAUAGUUGAGUAUCAUCAUGAAUUCAUGAAGACUCUUCCCAUUCCAGGUCUGAACAUCACGCCGCUAGAAGAAUGCAGGACCACAGGACGGUGUGUAGAUCUUCUUAACAAUAUAGAGAACAUGACAGCAGAAGUGCUUCCAUUGACAAAUGUGACCAGCAUUUUGAAUGUGGUCCUCAAUGCUUCAGACAUGUUUUUGGAGUCAUCGUCAGCUGACCCAAAUAAACUGGUGUCAUAUGGAAACCGUAUGUUAAAAGCCAGUGAGAAACUUGUGGCCAUGCUCGUAAAACCAACAAACACAAGUGACUAUGUCACUUUUACUCUUGACACUUUGAAGGUAGAAAUCUUCAUGGUUGGACCACAGGUCACCCUAGAGAAAAUCCCUAGACUUAACACGACAGAUUCUUCUGUGGACAUCGAUCUCAUUGGGAUCGCCAAGAACAACAAUGAAACAAGUAUGUUAAAUGUUGUGAUGUGAUUUUAUCAAACAAAAGAGAUAGAAUAUAACUAAACA
rnacentral:lncRNA from 1 species